rnacentral:rRNA from 1 species
UACCAGCACCCCGAGUGGUCGGGACGCUUAUUGGGCCUAAAGCAUCCGUAGCCGGUUCUACAAGUCUUCCGUUAAAUCCACCUGCUUAACAGAUGGGCUGCGGAAGAUACUAUAGAGCUAGGAGGCGGGAGAGGCAAGCGGUACUCGAUGGGUAGGGGUAAAAUCCGUUGAUCCAUUGAAGACCACCAGUGGCGAAGGCGGCUUGCCAGAACGCGCUCGACGGUGAGGGAUGAAAGCUGGGGGAGCAAACCGG